UACGUAGGUGGCAAGCGUUGUCCGGAAUUAUUGGGCGUAAAGCGCGCGCAGGCGGCCUCUUAAGUCUGAUGUGAAAGCCCCCGGCUCAACCGGGGAGGGCCAUUGGAAACUGGGAGGCUUGAGUAUAGGAGAGAAGAGUGGAAUUCCACGUGUAGCGGUGAAAUGCGUAGAGAUGUGGAGGAACACCAGUGGCGAAGGCGACUCUUUGGCCUAUAACUGACGCUGGAGGC
rnacentral:rRNA from 1 species